CGUAGGAUUGCGGAGUCGCAAGGUCGCGGGGUAGCGGAGUCACUAGGUCGCGAGGUCGCAAGGUCACCGAUUCGCAAGGACUCGAGGUCCUGGGGUCACGGAUUCGCAAGGACGCAAGGUCGCUGGGUCACCGAUUCGCGAGGACUCGAGGUCGCAGGGUCACGGAUUCGCGAGGUCGCGGGGUCACGGAUAUGCGAGGACGCGAGGUCACAGGGUCACAGAUUCGCGAGGACACGAGGUCGCGGGGUUGCGUAGUGGUGAGGGCUUGACAUAUCUCGACAGGGGCCUGUGCGGGGCUGUCGGCAGAUAUCGAUAGGGGCAGGCACAGAGGUGCGCAAGUCUCGGCAGAUGCGUGCAGGGAAGGCACAGGGCAGGGGCCGGUCCAAUUUUUCCUCCGGCCGGUUCUGGUGGACCCGCCGCCGGUUCUAGGCUCCUUGAGGCUAGGGCUUCGAUAUGUGGGGCG
rnacentral:lncRNA from 1 species